AGUGACCCUUAGGUCGAGUGUGGCGUAUGGUCUCAAGGUGACUGCAAUGCACUAAUGACUAUAGUUCCGCUUCCCAAAACAAUGUGGCCAGAGGCUGUCAAAACGCAGAAGAGAAAUAAUACUGAGUUUGGGGCGGAGCUGCCCUGGUCUUGAAGUAUCGAACACCAUCUGCUGUGCUGAGCUCCACUGCGAUCAGGACAUAGUUGUGUUCCUGCCAGACAUGAGCUUACAUAUGCUACACUGAAAAGAAAACUGGCGCAAAAGCUGUGGUCUGAUGUGCUUUCAGUAGGAUUUGCCCUGCAUAAGUGACGAUGUGCUAGCCAGCCUCUUGCUGAGAGGAUGCGCUCCAGAAGCUGCAGAAAGCAGGAAGAAAUCUAGCAAGCACAAGGCUGGCUGCUCCUAGAACAUGCGUGCUACAUGAUUUGUCACUCUGUAGCCAGAUGAGAGAAGAUACUAUCCCCAAAUUCAACUUGCCACUGCAGCAGCCAGAUGCAAAGUGGGGUACAGUUGCUUUUCUGAGGCCAUGGGCUCAGGGCAGGCUCCAGGUGUUGGUCUGGAAAGCUGAGACAGGUAAGUGAAUAUUUUCCUUAGCACCCUUUACCCAGAAUCUGGUAGUUGACCCUAGCAGCUGGGAGACUUUCUGCUCUUUUCCCUGAUGGUUUACACUGUUGGCGAUAUCUCCGCAGAUAAGUGACUUCACUGCAUCCGGAGUUUGCAUUCAAUGCAAAGACUAAUUGCAAGGAACGUUUCAGAAUAAACACAUUUCUCUUCCAAAGUAGUUUGUUUGUAAGGGAAAAAAAAUAAAAGAUGUUAAAUGGGAUAAUUUGUUUCCCUUCUUGUCUUUUACUACAUAACACAC